rnacentral:lncRNA from 1 species
GAGCCUCUGGGGUGCAGGAAGCACCAAGGCAGAGGAGGGUGAGGGCAGUGUGGGGGCUCAUCCACCCUUCCCCGGGUUUUCUCCCCACAGGGCGCAUGGAGCGGGGCUCUCCUGCUGAGACGUGGCGGGUGCCGCGGCCCCCCAGGCAGCACAGCCAGAGCGGCAGCCGAGGCCCUACCCUGCCGGAGUGCUCCGAGGCCGCCUGCGGCCCCCACACCAUCCUGGAGAGCAAGGUGAAGGCGCUGAAGGAGAAGCGAGGGGGCAGCCGGCCGGGGACCCCCACGGCCACCCCUGAACGCCCCUCACCCAAAAAACACCGGCCCCGGCGGGGGAAGGCGGGGGUGGAUGUGGCAGCGGUGGAGCCACGUGCUCAGCUCCGCACCUACCUGACGGACGGGCUGUUGGAUGGUGGGGAGUCUGUGGCCAGCGGCCCCCCAACCCCGGCACCCCUCGCCAGCACCCCAGGGCUCUGGCGGGUGCCGACACCCAGGAGAGAUGUGCCAGGAGGAACCAAGCUCCCCCCAGAUGAGGGCAGCUGGUCCUGGGGCUCUGCCUCCCCCCACGAGAGACCUCCCCUGGAAGAAGAGGCACGAAUCCCACCACGGGACCAGAGGGGUCCCUCUGCAUCCCCCACCGUGGCAGAGGCCUGGGAGAGGCUCUCGCUGGCUGAGCAGGUGGAGAGGAACCGGCAGCUACUGCAGGAGGUGCUGGGCCUCACUGCGCCCGAGGUGCCAGUGAGCGACGGGGACUGGGACUCGGGGGUCUCGCUGCAGGACACCGAGAGCUGCAGGUAGGUCAGUCCCAGUGUGGCAGAGAUGGAUAUUUCCCUCUUUUCCUUCUCUCAGUCUUGUAUAUUAAAUGCAUCCCGCGAAGCAGCACUGGGGCUCACCAGAGCUCUGUGGAAGGGCUGUGGGGGCAGCCCCCAGCGUGGAAGCUGGUGGAUGGAGUGUGGAUGGGCUCUGGUGAUGCUUCAGUGUGAGCAGGGCAGGAGGGUCAGGCCAAGCCAGGUGCAUGUGGUGUUUGGG